CGGGGCCUGAUGGGAGCGGCGCCCAGGCAGCUACGCCCCUCCUUCGGCGGGCGGCGGCGGCGGCGGGAUGCACGGCCCGGUCCGCGGCAGCUGUGAAUUCUUGUAGAAGAUUGAUAGCUUUGCCAACAUUUGUCCACAAAAGAAGAUGGGUGGAUUACUUUCAAGAUGGAGGCAGGCAAAGCCUUCCACUGUAGAAGUAUUAGAGAAAAUUGAUAAGGAAAUACAGACAUUAGAAGAAUUUAGAGAAAAAAAUCAGAGGCUACAGAAACUAUGGGUUGGAAGGCUGCUUCUCUACUCUUCAGUUCUUUACCUUAUCACCUGCCUAAUUGUAUAUUUCUGGUGUCUUCCUGAUGAAUGGACAGAAAGGUUGAUUAUGACACUUCCAUUUUUUGCAUUUCCAUUGAUAAUCUGGUUUAUAAGAACACUGCUCAUUUUUUUCUUUUCCAAAAGGACAGAGAGGAAUAAUGAUGCACUGGAAGAUUUAAAAUCUCAAAAGAAGAAAAUACUUGAGGAAGUAAUGGAGAAGGAAACUUACAAGACUGCUAAAUUAAUCCUUGAAAGGUUUGAUCCGGGAUCAAGUGCAAAGGAGGCUGAACUGCCAUCUGCUGGAACAUCUGCAACCCCAAGACCUGGACAAGAAAUUCGUCAGAGGACCACAGCUCAAAGAAAUGCUUCUACACCCCUGCCUGUAACUUCCAAACAAGGCUCUCCAAAAACACUGGUUCCAGCAUCUCCUGUUCUGCAAAGAGACACGUCAGCUCUGAGCGGACCCCCAGAAAGAACUGCUGUACCAUCCUUGCAGUCAAAUGUUUUACCAAGACGCCCUGGAUCCCCUGCUACUCCAGUGCCUGGAAUGGGUCUCCAUCCUCCAGGCCCUCCUUUAGCAAGGCCUAUUCUUCCGCGAGAAAGAGGAGUUGUGGAUAGAGUUAUUGAAUAUUUGGUUGGUGAUGGUCCUCAGAACAGGUAUGCCCUUAUAUGUCAACAAUGUUUUUCGCACAAUGGUAUGGCUUUGAAGGAGGAGUUUGAAUACAUAGCAUUUAGGUGUGCCUACUGCUUUUUCCUGAAUCCUGCAAGAAAAACUAGACCUCAGGCUCCACGACUUCCAGACUUCAGUUUUGAAAAAAAGCAAUCUACAGAACUGCCAUCUGAAACUCAGCCUAGAGAGAUAAAGCCCCAGGAGACUCAACAGACAGAAGAAUCUGAAGAAGACAUGGCCCAGAUCAUCGAGACAAAUGAGACAGAUGGUAAAGCUGCAAGUUCUGAACAGCUAAAUGAUAAGCUAGAUGAAGAAGAAGAAAAAGAGGAAACAGAAAACAUUUCAACAACUGAAGACUCUAUUUCGGAACCUAUAUCAACUGAACAAAGUAAAGAAUCUUUAAUGAAAGCAGAAUAAAAUACUCCCAAGUGCCUUCUGUAGCUAGUUUUUAGCUUUGUUCAUGCCUGUUAUUACUAUUCAGUAACAGAAAAUUCUUGACUCUCUGUGGUGGUAUUUGAUGUCUGGGAGGAAAAGCAGAUGAAAUACAUUAGAUCAUCGCAUAAAUUACUCCUAAUCACGCUCUUGGCUAUACAAACUAUUUUGCAAAGCCACAAGGAAGGUGCUGCCUGGGAAACUGUGUGAACAAGAAACACGACAGAAACACGUUGCUUUCAACCUGUACCGUGUAAGGGCACUUGGGCCCUUAACUCCUUCAAAAUAAUAAAAAAACCCCAACAGUCAAACUUUUUUGUAUACUUUCAUUAAAUUUUAAAUGUUAAUAGUACUAACUUAUUUUGGACACCCCCCCCCCCCCCCUACUUCUGUGCAGUGUUUUCCAUUAAAAAGUGUAAAUAGUGUGUAUGUGGGUAUCUUGAAUCUAUGCUGCAGACUUCGCAGAUGCAGAUGGUUACAACAGCUUGGUGUGGAAGUUUGUUUUUCCACUGAGGUUUCGUGUUUGUAGGAAGUUCCUUACAGUGAAAGGAUGCCCUUGUGCAGGUGGGUGACUCCAUUGCAGAGAAGUGCAUUUGUUACUUGGCUGCAAGUAAUGAGCAAAACAAUGGCAAGUGCCAUGUCAUUGCGUGUCAAUAUUUGAUGAUUGUUUGCUCAUGCUGAAUUUAUUACUUCUGGUAACAACUUAGGCAUCUUUAGUUCUCUGUAUUGUAUAUUAUUAACCAUUUUUUAAAGAACUGACAACACUGGUGUUCCCCAGCAGUAGAAUCCCUUUUAUAAUACUUGGAAAUAUUUCCUUUUUCUCAUAUUUUACAGAAGGGAGUGAAGGUAAUUUUUUCCCCACCAUUCCUGCUGCCGCAAUGUGACUAGAAGUACUUAUUUUUCAAAAAUGCUAGGGUUUUUUAUUGUUUCAGCUAUUUGACCAUGUCAGUGUGUUGCUGGGGCUUUUUUAAAGAGAGAGUGAAUGACAGCCUGGUUGCGGAAUGCAUUUUCUUUAUAAGGCUUAUCUUAAAACUUACUGGUUUGCAGUGGUGAAAUCCCCUUGGGAGGAGUUUGUUGGAUUAUUGAACAAAUGGUGGGCAGCUGACGUGUAAUGGAAAGUACUCGACUAAGAUUGUGUGCAACUUAUUGUGAAUACUCCUGAUACAUUAUAAUAAGGCGUUAUGUUCAUCUAAUUCAUGAAUUCUGAUCUAUUUGAUUUUAGAAUCUCAGACUGUGUUACAAGUGUAAUGAUUCUGAGAGCUGGAAUAUUGUUAGCCAUUGUGAACAGUACUGCAGGAGUCUCUGGAUGUAUAAUGUGAUAGAUGCAAUUUUGUUUGAAUUUUUUUUCCAAGGCCAAUUUAAUUUUGAUUUAUUUGCCUCAUUAACCCAAGGAUUCAGAAAAUUGAAUGCCACCUGAGUGAGGUAUUAUUAACACUAGUGAAAUAUCUUCAGAAUUGCUCCGUGCUUAUAAAUUGGUCUUUUGAAAGCAUUUUAAAGGCAUAAUGAUACUGUAGUGAAAAUGUACAGCAUCGUUUAAAAAUUGCAAAAUGCUUAUUUGAUUUCUGAAAUAAGACUGGGUCACCUGACUUAAAUAUAUACUGAUCUAUUAUUUAUGCUUUGAAAAUAGAGCUGAUAAAAAGCAUAAGUGUUCUUGAUAUUAUAUUUUGUCAUAUCUAGCUAAAAAGAUUGAAAUCCAGAGAAACAAUUUUCUGAAGAAAUGAAAUAGUAUGCCCUCCUGAACCCCUGGGGAAAAUAGCCUCUCUGUUCGCUGAGAAUAUGAAGCAGUAAAACAGUAUAAGUAAAACAGACAGCUCAUGUCACAUUCCUAUUUGUACAGUCUGGAAUGAUGUUUUAAAAAUAUUUUCUAGUUAUUUUUGAUAAAUAAAUGGUGCAAAUAACAUCUGCAAACCAACCCUGCUGAUGUAAGAUUUUUCAGAUCAGAUUUGUUUGUCAGUGAAAGUUCAGAAAAUUGCUUUGCAAAACUAAAGUUGUAUAACUCCCAAAAAUAUGCAUAACAGAUGUACAAGAAUGUAUCUUGCUCUCCUUUUGCCUUCCCUCAAAGAAACCAAUGCUGAUUCUCCAUUAUCUUUGCUUCUGAGCUCAGAAGGUAGCUGGACAAAAUUAUCAAAUAUCAAAAAGCUGAGCUGCUAAACACAGAUGUGUUUAUAAGGUGUUAAAUAGCUGAGCACUUGACAUGGGUAGCAGGGUGCCCAGCUACCCUUUACGAACAGUGUAUCCUGGCUAAAGCCUUGAGAUUUUCCCCCUGAGCCAUUCAUUAGUGCCCCACUGAAAACCAAGCUUAUGGUUAUAAGGGCCUUCCACAGGUGGUGCACAUUUGGUCAGGGGGUAUAAAGGAUGUGAGUGUGUUGCCUGCCUGUUGCUUUCUGCAGGUUCUUCCAAAGGCUGGCACGCUUGAGGAUGAGGAGAAGUUUCUCAGAGUCCUUUGGCUUUCAGAAGCGCACCCUUCAGCGCAAGGAUGCUGAUGCCACUCUAAUUUCCUUCACUGAUGCAAAAGCUGAGAUGGAAAAAAAAUCCCUGGGCAGCAGGGUUGAAAAAUCCAAUGUCAUGGCUCUACAAACGCCCCGUUGCCCAAGACUGGCCAAGGAAGUGUGUGUCUGUACCUCUCCGAAAACAUCACUUGUUGAGGGAGUGGGCUUUGGGCUACAUUUGGGGGCUGUAUGCCUUCAAGGCCGCCUUGUUAUGCUUUGGACUUCUGUUCUCUACAGAGUUGGUUAAAGCCAGCUUUAAUGAUAUUUUUGUAAAGAUUCUCGGUCAGUGGACUCUUAUCUCAGGCUAAAUUCUGUGAUACAUCCACAGAAUACAAAAUGCGUGUAUUUUGUAAACAUGUAUGUAUUUAAUAAGGACCAAAAUAAACUUUUGUUUUUAUUUUACAGCA